AGUCUAAUACUCUAACCCUAAACUUAAAUAUAUACCAUACCCUAAAUCAUAUUACAUAUACUCUAAACUUAUAUUUUAAAACUCUAAAUUUUAAAUACAAAAUAAAUGUAAUCAAUAAUUUGAAUAUAAUUUAUUUUUUAUACAAAUAAAUUUAGUUAAGCAAUAAAUUAUAAUUUCUAAAACAAUUAUUAAUAAAAAUUGUUUUGGAUUGAUUAAUUUUCGACCACUGAUUGGUGUUAUUCCAAAGGUUAGAAGUUAAUCUUAGUUAAUCCUAUUACUUUCUCUUUAUUGGUCAAUGAUUUGUGGCUAUUGAUUGUUUUUCUCCUGAGAACAAUCUUCUCCAUCACUCGGCCAUCUUUUCUCAUUCUUCUCCAUCCAUCCUUGAAUCGUUAAACCUAAAAUCACAAAGUCUUCAGAUCUGCACAUAGAGCUUGACUCUAAUCAACCUCUUACGAUUCAAUCUGUCUGGAUUUAACCCUCUCUCUCUUUCUCUCUCUCUAUCUCUAUCUCUCUCACUCAGCCAUGAUGAAAGCUUCGGCGACAACGCUUGACUCGAGUCAGAGAAUGGCGAGUGACAACAGAGCAGCGCCGGUGGCAAGGCGGAAGACGGCUGUCCUUCAUAAGCAGAGGAGGAGAAGAGGCUUCGAUGGUUCAGCUCGCCGGAGAUGAAUAAAGGGGAAGUCUCAGCCUCUCUUUGCCGUGAACCUCGCCGUUUGAUGAUGUUAAUGGAAAGGUGCUGAGUGACAAGACUUUUGGCAAAGGUGACGAUGCUUUCAACACCUUCUUCAGCGAAACCGGUGCAGGGAAGCAUGUCCCUCAUGCUGUCUUUGUCGACCUUGAGCCCACCAUGAUCGACGAGGUUAGAACCCGUACUUACCGUCAACUUUUCCACCUUGAACAGCUCAUCAGUGGUAAAGAAGACGCAGAUAACAAUACAGCAGUACAGUGAGAAAAACUGUUUACAUGGGGUUGGAAUCAAAGAGGUACAUUAGGACAUCCACCAGAGACGAAAACAGAAAGCCAAUGUCAAGAUUACACUGAGAAAAAAAGGAAUGAGGAUUCUAGUCAGAGGAGAGAACUAGAAGGAGAGUCGGAGUAGACUCGUUGGUGUGAGUCCGAGAGAGAGACUUCGAGAGUGAGAGAGUUUUGAUUUUUUUUUUCUAAGUGUUUAGGCUUGUUAGUGUUUUGUGGGAUGUUUUGUGCUUUAAUGAUAAAUUUUGGCUAAAAAUGAAUUGGUGCCAAAACCCCAAAAUAUUAUUGGAGCCAAAUCUUAUGGAGGGAAAUAUAACUGGAACAAAAUAUUAUCCUCUUGUAAUCCCUAAAACUAUGGAUUUUAAUAUUUUAAAGUGUAACCCCCUAAAACUAUAACCCUGAAAAUAGUCAUCAUUGUCCUUCUUGAUAGACCAAUGAUAAUAUUCCUUCAUUUUUUAAUCAUUAAUUAAUUGUGUUUUUUUAUUAAUUUUACAUGUAUUAUAAUUAUAUUAUAGU